rnacentral:rRNA from 1 species
UACGUAGGGGGCAAGCGUUGUCCGGAAUCAUUGGGCGUAAAGCGCGUGUAGGCGGACUGGAAGGUCUGGUGUGAAAGCCCGGGGCUCAACCCCGGAGGGUCACUGGAAACCGACAGUCUUGAGUCCGGAAGAGGAGAGUGGAAUUCCUGGUGUAGCGGUGGAAUGCGCAGAUAUCGGGAGGAACACCUAUGGCGAAGGCAGCUCUCUGGUACGUGACUGACGCUGAGACGCGAAAGCGUGGGGAGCGAACAGG